rnacentral:misc_RNA from 1 species
GUUCGACAUGUAUUUACGCGAUAGAAGUCCACUGCCUCUUAAUUAUAAUCCCUUGCUUAUUAUGAAACACGACACAAAAGAGGCAUAUCAAGACCAGUUGCUACGCGCCACUAACUUAGUAAUAAGUUCCAUGAGAUUUUGGCGUUCAUUACAAGCAGACCUGUUAGAGCCUGAGAUUUAUCAUCUGAAUGCUAAGAAAAGCGAUACACAGAGAUUUAAGAAUAUUAUGUGUCUUGUUCCUGAAAGAAUAGCCACAUAUGCGGCUUAUGCUUUCAAAGCUUUCCCUUUGGAUAUGAGCCAGUACAAACGACUCUUUGGAGUAUCCAGAAUACCAGGAAAAGAGAAAGAUUCGUUAGUGCAAAAUGAAAACUCAAACCAUAUAUUAGUCAUUCGUGGUGGCAAUAUAUAUUCGGUAGAUGUGUUGGACAAAGAAGGAAAUAUAGAAAGACCAGAAGUAAUUUUCGGGCGUUUACAUGCGGUUAUAAAUAAGGCUGAAACUAACGGUAGUUCCACCGUACCCAUUGGAACUUUGACUACUAUUAAUCGAGACGAAUGGGCUAGUUUGCGCCAGUAUUUAACCGAUAAUAUAGGAGGGGAAAAUAAGCGACUUCUUGAAACAGAAAUUGAUGCUGCUUUAUUUUGCCUUUGUUUAGAUUCACCUAAUUCCCCAAAAUACAGUGAAGAAAAUUUUGUACCAUUGCUCAAGGACUUGUUAGCGGGUGACGGCACAAAUCGUUGGUUCGAUAAAUCUGUAUCAUUAAUAGUAACUGUAGAUGGUACGGCAGCUGUAAAUUUCGAACACUCGUGGGGCGACGGAAUCGCCGUACUAAGAUAUUUUAAUGAAAUAUACCAAGAAACUAUAAAUAAUCCUUUUGCAAAGCCUGGUAUAAUAGUUAAUCAUACGGAAAAUAUAAAGUGCGUAAGAUCGAUCAAACUAAAAACAGACGCAUAUGUAGAAAAUGCAAUAAAAAAAACUAUAUUGAAAAACAAGCAUAUGAUGCAGCAACUGAAUGUAAAUACACUGAAAUAUCCGGAAUUGAAUAAAGAUAUAUGCAAAUCACUUGGUUUGAGCCCUGAUGCAAUAAUGCAACUUUCAUUUCAACUCGCAUAUAAAAGAGCUUUUAAUGAUUAUGUUGGAACUUAUGAAUCGUGUAGUACGGCUGCAUUUCGACACGGCCGCACCGAAACCGUACGUCCAUGCACCAUGGCGACAAAACACGUGUGUGAUAACUUGGGGCGAAGUCUUGCAAAGCAGCCACAUUUAAGCUGCAAUGGGACAAGGUUUCGACAGGCAUUUGUUUGCUUUAAGACAUCAAGCUAAACUCCAUGGAAAAGAAUUGCCUGCUAUAUAUAAAAGUGAGGCGUAUCCGAAAAUCAAUCACAAUAUCAUCAGCACUUCAACCUUAUCCUCCAACGCUUUGUUGGUUGGCUCUUUUGGUCCAGUGGUAAGAGAUGGUUUGGGAAUAGCAUAUUCAAUACAAAAUGAUUACUGUGGUGCAAUAGUUUCUUCCUAUGAAAAUGAGCGCAACGGAAAAGAAUUUGUAGAUAGCUUUCAAACAGCGUUUCGUGAUAUAUCCACAGUGUUAAAACAUCUAGUGAAAUAAGCUUUAUAAAAAUAUUAAACAGUAUAUAUAUUUUUAU